CAGCAGCCGCGGUAAUACGAAGGGUGCAAGCGUUAAUCGGAAUUACUGGGCGUAAAGCGUGCGUAGGCGGUUUGUUAAGUCUGCUGUGAAAUCCCCGGGCUCAACCUGGGAAUGGCAGUGGAUACUGGCAAGCUAGAGUGUGUCAGAGGAUGGUGGAAUUCCCGGUGUAGCGGUGAAAUGCGUAGAGAUCGGGAGGAACAUCAGUGGCGAAGGCGGCCAUCUGGGACAACACUGACGCUGAGGCACGAAAGCGUGGGGAGCAAACAGGAUUAGAGACCCCCGUAGUCCCUGUCUCUUAUAC
rnacentral:rRNA from 1 species